CAAGCGGUGGAGCAUGUGGUUUAAUUCGAUGCAACGCGAAGAACCUUACCUACUCUUGACAUCCAGCGAACUUAGCAGAGAUGCUUUGGUGCCUUCGGGAACGCUGAGACAGGUGCUGCAUGGCUGUCGUCAGCUCGUGUUGUGAAAUGUUGGGUUAAGUCCCGCAACGAGCGCAACCCUUAUCCUUUGUUGCCAGCGAUACGGUCGGGGACUCAAAGGAGACUGCCGGUGAUAAACCGGAGGAAGGUGGGGAUGACGUCAAGUCAUCAUGGCCCUUACGAGUAGGGCUACACACGUGCUACAAUGGCGCAUACAAAGAGAAGCGACCUCGCGAGAGCAAGCGGACCUCAGAAAGUGCGUCGUAGUCCGGAUCGGAGUCUGCAACUCGACUCCGUGAAGUCGGAAUCGCUAGUAGUCGUGGAUCAGAAUGCCACGGUGAAUACGUUCCCGGGCCUUGUACACACC
rnacentral:rRNA from 1 species